rnacentral:rRNA from 1 species
UGGGGAAUAUUGCACAAUGGGCGCAAGCCUGAUGCAGCCAUGCCGCGUGUGUGAAGAAGGCCUUCGGGUUGUAAGGCACUUUCAGCGAGGAGGAAGGUGGUGAGCUUAAUACGCUCAUCAAUUGACGUUACUCGCAGAAGAAGCACCGGCUAACUCCGUGCCAGCAGCCGCGGUAAUACGGAGGGUGCAAGCGUUAACCGGAAUUACUGGGCGUAAAGCGCACGCAGGCGGUUUGUUAAGUCAGAUGUGAAAUCCCCGGGCUCAACCUGGGAACUGCAUUUGAAACUGGCAAGCUAGAGUCUCGUAGAGGGGGGUAGAAUUCCAGGUGUAGCGGUGAAAUGCGUAGAGAUCUGGAGGAAUACCGGUGGCGAAGGCGGCCCCCUGGACGAAGACUGACGCUCAGGUGCGAAAGCGUGGGGCAGCAAACAGGAUUAGAUACCCUGGUAGUCCACGCUGUAAACGAUGUCGAUUUUGGAGGUUGUGCCCUUGAGGCGUGGCUUCCGGAGCUAACGCGUUAAAUCGACCGCCUGGGGAGUACGGCCGCAAGGUUAAAACUCAAAUGAAUUG